rnacentral:rRNA from 1 species
UUNGUCGCGUCGUUUGUGAAAACCAGCAGCUCAACUGCUGGCUUGCAGGCGAUACGGGCAGACUUGAGUACUGCAGGGGAGACUGGAAUUCCUGGUGUAGCGGUGAAAUGCGCAGAUAUCAGGAGGAACACCGGUGGCGAAGGCGGGUCUCUGGGCAGUAACUGACGCUGAGGAACGAAAGCGUGGGUAGCGAACAGGAUUAGAUACCCUGGUAGUCCACGCCGUAAACGGUGGGCGCUAGGUGUGGGUUCCUUCCACGGAAUCCGUGCCGUAGCUAACGCAUUAAGCGCCCCGCCUGGGGAGUACGGCCGCAAGGCUAAAACUCAAAGGAAUUGACGGGGGCCCGCACAAGCGGCGGAGCAUGUGGAUUAAUUCGAUGCAACGCGAAGAACCUUACCUGGGUUUGACAUAUACCGGAAAGCUGCAGAGAUGUGGCCCCCCUUGUGGUCGGUAUACAGGUGGUGCAUGGCUGUCGUCAGCUCGUGUCGCGAGAUGUUGGGUUAAGUCCCGCAACGAGCGCAACCCCUAUCUUAUGUUGCCAGCACGUUAUGGUGGGGACUCGUAAGAGACUGCCGGGGUCAACUCGGAGGAAGGUGGGGACGACGUCAAGUCAUCAUGCCCCUUAUGUCCAGGGCUUCACACAUGCUACAAUGGCCAGUACAGAGGGCUGCGAGACCGUGAGGUGGAGCGAAUCCCUUAAAGCUGGUCUCAGUUCGGAUCGGGGUCUGCAACUCGACCCCGUGAAGUCGGAGUCGCUAGUAAUCGCAGAUCAGCAACGCUGCGGUGAAUACGUU